UACGUAGGGGGCAAGCGUUGUCCGGAUUCAUUGGGCGUAAAGGGCGCGUAGGCGGCGUGACAAGUCACUUGUGAAAUCUCCGGGCUUAACCCGGAGCGGCCAAGUGAUACUGUCGUGCUAGAGUGCGGAAGGGGCUACUGGAAUUCUCGGUGUAGCGGUGAAAUGCGUAGAUAUCGAGAGGAACACCUGCGGCGAAGGCGGGUAGCUGGGCCGACACUGACGCUGAGGCGCGAAAGCCAGGGGAGCGAACGGG
rnacentral:rRNA from 1 species